ACGCUCGACAGUGUCACAGCCGCGGUAAUACAGAGGGUGCAAGCGUUAAUCGGAAUUACUGGGCGUAAAGACGCGCGUAGGUGGUUUGUUAAGGUUGGAUGUGAAAUCCCCGGGCUCAACUGGGAACUGCAUCCAAAACUGGCAAGCUAGAGUAUGGUAGAGGGUGGUGGAAUUUCCUGUGUAGCGGUGAAAUGCGUAGAUAUAGGAAGGAACACCAGUGGCGAAGGCGACCACCUGGACUGAUACUGACACUGAAGGUGCGAAAAGCGGUGGGGAGCAAACAGGAUUAGAUACCCCUGGGUAGUCCACGACCGUAAACGAUGUCAACUAGCCGGUUGGGAGCCUUGAGCUCUUAGUGGCGCAGCUAACGCAUUAAGUU
rnacentral:rRNA from 1 species